UCUGGCUUUUAGAUCCUGGGU
rnacentral:miRNA from 1 species